rnacentral:sRNA from 1 species
GUCAAAUGAAGAGAAGGGAAGAUGGGUGGCCGAUGAUUAAAUAAUCUUAUUUUUAUUUUUGAAAUGAAAUUCAAGAAUCUAAAAUAGGAUUAGUCUGCCCAUUUUUCCAUAAACGUUCAACAACUGUAUGGCUCAAAAUUAGCUUUUACGAUAUCGAUAAAUGAUUACGUGAGUAUCUAUUAUCGAUAUCCAUUCGGUUGUUCGUAUGCAAGUAUAGGAAGGUACAAAACUUUUCUAUCUGUAAAAAAUGAGACUAAUCCUUCCAAAAUCUUUGGGGGGAUUUUUAU